rnacentral:rRNA from 1 species
GACGAACCGUGCGAACGUUGUUCGGAAUCACUGGGCUUAAAGGGCGCGUAGGCGGGUGGCCAAGUCGGUGGUGAAAUCCUCCAGCUCAACUGGAGAAUUGCCUUCGAUACUGGUUGUCUUGAGGGGGGUAGGGGCAGACGGAACUUCCGGUGGAGCGGUGAAAUGCGUAGAUAUCGGAAGGAACGCCGGCGGCGAAAGCGGUCUGCUGGACCCUCACUGACGCUGAGGCGCGAAAGCCAGGGGAGCAAACGGGAUUAGAUACCCCGGUAGUCCUGGCCCUAAACGAUGAGAACUAGGUUGUGGACUUGACAUGGGUUCACAGCCGAAGCCAAAGUGCUAAGUUCUCCGCCUGGGGAGUAUGGUCGCAAGGCUGAA